GAUGAAGAACGUAGCGAAAUGCGAUAAGUAGUGUGAAUUGCAGAAUUCAGUGAAUCAUCGAAUCUUUGAACGCACAUUGCGCCCUUUGAUAUUCCAAAGGGCAUGCCUGUUCGAGCGUCAUUUGUACCCUCAAGCUUUGCUUGGUGUUGGGCGUCUUGUCUCUAGCUUUGCUGGAGACUCGCCUUAAAGUAAUUGGCAGCCGGCCUACUGGUUUCGGAGCGCAGCACAAGUCGCACUCUCUAUCAGCAAAGGUCUAGCAUCCAUUAAGCCUUUUUUUCAACUUUUGACCUCGGAUCAGGUAGGGAUACCCGCUGAACUUAAGCAUAUCAAUAGCGGAGGA
rnacentral:misc_RNA from 1 species